GAGGGCCGAGACCCCCAACCGGUGAAGGGGCGCGGUCUGCUUGGGGGUCCUGCCAUUCUGGACCCCUGCGGAGACCUGGAAUUUUCUUUUUCGCCGCCCCACCUCCCACCACCAUCUCACCCCACCGCCAUGGAGAAGAGGCAGGAAAGGCCGUUGACAAACGGGGACACUGAGGCUCGAACACCCUGCCCUGUCUAGGGCCUCAGCCCUCGGCAGCCCGGCCUCCCGGGGAGCAGGAGGCGCCUUGUGUUUCAGGGUUUCAAAGGACGUCCGCAUCUGGUUUCUCUUUCCAGGCCGCUACAUGCCAGCGGGGGUUCCAGGCAAGGCAGAGGGCUGCCUCCUGCCCCUCCAGCCACCACAGUCCACCCUCCCCAGCAGCCCGAGGGAUCUUUCUAGAAGGCCUGACCAAGCCCUUCCCCUGCCGGGAGCCUCCCAGGCUGUCCUUCGAAUAAAGUCCAGUGGAUUCAACCCUGAACGUCACCUGACCAAGGCUGCUGGGCCAAGCUGGAACAGAAUCGGAUCCUUGAGUCUGGGAGGCGGAGGCGGUUCGGGAAUGCAGAGGGCGUGAGAGAGAACCAAGGGAGGUGUCCUGGCCGAGUGGUGUUUCCCGCGGGACUUCUCAGAGCCUUCAUCACCUGAUACGCACCUCCACUCUUCCAGGGAGAGGACACACUGCACAGUGGUUCCCAAACUGACUUGCCCACAGGACCCCUGUGGACGGUUGUGGGGCACCACGUCAGCCCCCCUGCAGAGCGUGGAAGGGACGUUGCCCUCCCCACCCCCAAGGCUGCCAUCAACCAAUGCCAUCCCUACUGCCCCCGGCAGGACAGGGAGCUGGAAGCUGUGACACCCCAUUUUAAGGGGCCACCCAUUAAUUAAUUAGGCUCCAUGAAUAAUGCAUGCCACCUUGGGUAUAUUAAUAGCAUAUUUAUAUGGUGUGCUAUGGGGAGUAUACAUUCUCGUCUGAACACCUCACAAAUAAUUCACGACACCGCUCCUUCCCCAGCCUCCAGGAGAUCCUGGCCGGUGCUGCGGCUGGGGCUGGUGGGCUGCUUCCCACAGCCAAAUUUUACAUUUCAUUAUAAAUGGCUUUGCUAGGCAUGUCGGUAACUCGUGCAUUUCCAUCCACUUUAUUAUUAAUGGCUUUGCUGAACUGUAGCAGCCCAACGCCGCGCACAGUGCGUUAUAAAUAUUUGAUCCGGCA
rnacentral:lncRNA from 1 species